CUGCUUGCCUCUGCAGCACAUAUACUAAAAUUGGAAUGAUACAGAGAAGAUUAGCACGGCCCCUGUGCAAGGAUGACACAAAUUUGUGAAGCGUAUAUUUUUUGA